UACAGAAAUAGGUGCUGCCUCUUGUGAAA
rnacentral:piRNA from 1 species